rnacentral:lncRNA from 10 species
UUCUUGUGACAGUAGUGGGUUUCUUCAUUAAUUAAUGCUCAAUUAAUGUGUUUUCUUUAUCCAUUAGGGUCCCACAGAGAUUUGCUCAGUAUAUAGUUGCUUACUUGUGCAUUUAUGAUUCAACAUCCAUCUAUGUCCAGAAAGUAUUAGGUCUGUUGAGUAGUAGCUAUUAAAUAUGUGUGAAUUAAUGGAAUCAACAGAUGUAUGAAAUUUACCUUCUUAACAAUCUUUCUUAUGUAGGAACUGGUGAAGAUUUCCCCAGCAAAAAGUAGAAGCUCAGUGUUUCAUAGAUGAAGACUGGGGAGAUUGCAAAAGACCCAUCCAGAGUCUCACUUUGUCGCCCAGGCUGGAGUACAGUGGUGCGAUCUUGGCUCUCUGCAACCUCUGCCUCCCAGGUUCAAGUAAUUCUCCUGCCUCAGCCUCCCGAGUAGCUGGUACUACAGGCACACAUUUGUAGAGAUGGUGUUUCCCCAUGUCAUCCAGGCUGGUCUGGAACUCCUGGGAUCAAGUAAUCCACCCGCCUCGGCCUCCCAAAGUGCUGGGAUUACAGACGUGAGCCACCACGCCCUGCCAAUAAAAAGAUUAUCUCCAGAUGCUGACUAAGGUACAGAGAGGUCAAGUAACUUGCCCAAAGUCACACAACUAUCAAGGAGCAGAGCUGAGGUUUGAUGUCACAGAGGGGUCAAGAUACAGUCAUAUUUAUUAAACAGCCUACUUCAUGCUUUGAACAGAAGAGUUUUAUCAGUUUUAAAUGUUUCUUCAUUUCUAUACCUUCUUUUAUCUGAGGAGCUUAAGCCAUUUUGUAGAGGCAUUAAGUAUUGCCUCAGUCUUAAUAUGUGAGACAAGGUGUGAGGAAUAUAGAGAUUCAUAAAAUAAUCCCCAUCUUCAAGGAACUCACAGUCAGGAAGAACAGAGCCUGCAACACAAAUAAUUGCAAUAUAGUAGAAGUGCCAAUAGGAGCUCUAUGAAGGGCGUGAAACAGGAAAGGCUACAUAGAGGAGAUGGCAGACACUCUGUGGAUUGUGACCUGUUGGUGGGCCAUGAAAUCAAUUUGGGGGUUUGAGAGCAUCAUUCUUUUAAUAAAACAGAAGAGAAUCAUCUGCAAUAAGGAACCCAUGGAUGAAUACCAUCUGGUCCUGGUGAUUUACUGCACAGAGUCCCUCAAGUUGCUCCAUACCUUUCUCCUGAGAGACUGAAGAAUCUCUGUCAAGGCCGUUCUCUGCUUUGCCAUAAAAUGUGUCCUUGGAACAAGAAUUUCCCCAUUGUCUUCUUCAAUAAAUACUGAUUCAAAGUAUUCAUUUAGCUGUUCC